AGCUUGCUUUUCCGCCGGCGACCGGCGCACGGGUGCGCACCGCGUAUGGAACCUGCCUUGUACAGGGGAAUAGCCCAGGGAAACUUGGAUUAAUGCCCCGUAGUACCGUAUUUCGGCAUCGUUAUACGGUUAAAGCCUUCGGGCGGUACAAGAUGGCCAUGCGUCCCAUUAGCUGGAUGGUAAGGUAACGGCUUACCAUGGCUACGAUGGGUAGGGGCCCUGAGAGGGGGAUCCCCCACACUGGUACUGAGACACGGACCAGACUCCUACGGGAGGCAGCAGUGAGGAAUAUUGGACAAUGGAGGAGACUCUGAUCCAGCCAUGCCGCGUGCAGGAAGAAUGCCCUAUGGGUAGUAAACUGCUUUUAUACGGGAAGAAAAAGAGCUACGUGUAGCUUACUGACGGUACCGUAAGAAUAAGGACCGGCUAACUCCGUGCCAGCAGCCGCGGUAAUACGGAGGGUCCGAGCGUUAUCCGGAAUUAUUGGGUUUAAAGGGUCCGUAGGCGGGCCGAUAAGUCAGGGGUGAAAGUCUGCCGCUCAACGGUAGAACUGCCUUUGAUACUGUCGGUCUUGAGUUAUAGUG
rnacentral:rRNA from 1 species